CGAGAUGUAGCGCAGUCUGGUAGCGCACUAGCAUGGGGUGCUAGGGGUCGCAGGUUCAAUUCCUGUCAUCUCGAUCA
rnacentral:tRNA from 3 species